rnacentral:rRNA from 1 species
CAUGUGGUUUAAUUCGAAGCAACGCGAAGUAACCUUACCAGGUCUUGACAUCCCGAUGCUAUUUCUAGAGAUAGAAAGUUACUUCGGUACAUCGGUGACAGGUGGUGCAUGGUUGUCGUCAGCUCGUGUCGUGAGAUGUUGGGUUAAGUCCCGCAACGAGCGCAACCCCUAUUGUUAGUUGCCAUCAUUCAGUUGGGCACUCUAGCGAGACUGCCGGUAAUAAACCGGAGGAAGGUGGGGAUGACGUCAAAUCAUCAUGCCCCUUUAUGACCUGGGCUACACACGUGCUACAAUGGUUGGUACAACGAGUUGCGAGUCGGUGACGGCGAGCUAAUCUCUUAAAGCCAAUCUCAGUUCGGAUUGUAGGCUGCAACUCGCCUACAUGAAGUCGGAAUCGCUAGUAAUCGCGGAUCAGCACGCCGCGGUGAAUUACCGGUUCCCGGGCCUU